rnacentral:lncRNA from 1 species
CUGGACCUUCAUAGUCUCUUGUUGUUCGGCUGGGCAUGUCAAGUUCCAGUAAUACAAUAUUCUCUGCCCUGUACCGAGCCUCUGGACGAAUCAUCAUGGACGUCCUGGCAUGCUGGCUCAGUGGCCUUUUGUAUCCUACAGCAGACACUGGCCUUUUCAUCAUUUGCUGGUUAUCCAGACGGGUUAUGGGGUGCAGUUUCCACUGGUCUUCCUCUUCAUCAAAGAAUGACCUGUUCAUGAUCUUAUUCUUUUCUUCCAAAGGAAUAAAAUUUUCAAUAAUCAGGUGCUUCAGCUUUAGUUCCCUC